GCCUUACACAUGCAAGUCCGAACGCGAAAGUGGGGGCAACCCUGCGAGUAGAGUGGCGAACGGGUGAGUAACACAUCGGAACGUACCCAGGAGUGGGGGACAACCUCGAGAAAUCGAGGCUAAUACCGCAUACGUCCUGAGGGAGAAAGCGGGGGAUUCGCAAGGACCUCGCGCUCAUGGAGCGGCGAUGUCGGAUUAGCUAGUUGGCGGGGUAAAAGCCCACCAAGGCUACGAUCCGUAGCUGGUUUGAGAGAACGACCAGCCACACUGGGACUGAGACACGGCCCAGACUCC
rnacentral:rRNA from 1 species